GCUUAUUUACAGUGUAAUAUAUAGAACUUAUUAUUCUAAUAAUUGAAAAUUUAAAACCAUUCACUAUCAUGCCAAAUUUACAGUAAACACAAUCAACCUACAUACAUGCUCUUAACCAAUCACUUGUAUUUCUACAAGCACAAUCACACUUUGACAAGAAAAAAAAAAGCAUCAAACGAAAAACAAAAUUUCCUAUGUUAACCCCCCA
rnacentral:lncRNA from 1 species